rnacentral:rRNA from 1 species
GUAAGGAAUAUUGGUCAAUGGAGGCAACUCUGAACCAGCCAUGCCGCGUGCAGGAUGACUGCCCUAUGGGUUGUAAACUGCUUUUGUCAGGGAAUAAACCUUUCUACGUGUAGAAAGCUGAAUGUACCUGAAGAAUAAGGAUCGGCUAACUCCGUGCCAGCAGCCGCGGUAAUACGGAGGAUCCAAGCGUUAUCCGGAUUUAUUGGGUUUAAAGGGUGCGUAGGCGGUCCUAUAAGUCAGUGGUGAAAGACGGCAGCUUAACUGUCGCAGUGCCUUUGAUACUGUAGGACUUGAAUCUAUUUGAAGUGGGCGGAAUAAGACAAGUAGCGGUGAAAUGCAUAGAUAUGUCUUAGAACUCCGAUUGCGAAGGCAGCUCACUAAGUUAGUAUUGACGCUGAUGCACGAAAGCGUGGGGAUCAAACAGGAUUAGAAACCCUAGUAGUCC